UACGGAGGAUCCGAGCGUUAUCCGGAUUUAUUGGGUUUAAAGGGUGCGUAGGCGGCGCAUUAAGUCAGUGGUGAAAGGUAACGGCUCAACCGGGACACUGCCAUUGAUACUGAUGUGCUGGAGUACAGAUGAAGUGGGCGGAAUGUGUCAAGUAGCGGUGAAAUGCUUAGAUAUGACACAGAACACCGAUUGCGAAGGCAGCUCACUAAAGUGUCACUGACGCUGAGGCACGAAAGCGUGGGGAUCGAACAG
rnacentral:rRNA from 1 species